UAGGGAAUCUUCGGCAAUGGGGGCAACCCUGACCGAGCAACGCCGCGUGAGUGAAGAAGGUUUUCGGAUCGUAAAGCUCUGUUGUAAGAGAAGAACGUGUGUGAGAGUGGAAAGUUCACACAGUGACGGUAACUUACCAGAAAGGGACGGCUAACUACGUGCCAGCAGCCGCGGUAAUACGUAGGUCCCGAGCGUUGUCCGGAUUUAUUGGGCGUAAAGCGAGCGCAGGCGGUUUAAUAAGUCUGAAGUUAAAGGCAGUGGCUUAACCAUUGUUCGCUUUGGAAACUGUUAAACUUGAGUGCAGAAGGGGAGAGUGGAAUUCCAUGUGUAGCGGUGCAAUGCGUAGAUAUAUGGAGGAACACCGGUGGCGAAAGCGGCUCUCUGGUCUGUAACUGACGCUGAGGCUCGAAAGCGUGGGGAGCAAACAGG
rnacentral:rRNA from 1 species